UGCAGUCGAGCGCACCUUCGGGUGAGCGGCGGACGGGUUAGUAACGCGUGGGAACAUACCCUUUGGUACGGAAUAGCCUCUGGAAACGGAGAGUAAUACCGUAUGAGCCCUUCGGGGGAAAGAUUUAUCGCCAAAGGAUUGGCCCGCGUUAGAUUAGGUAGUUGGUGGGGUAAUGGCCUACCAAGCCUACGAUCUAUAGCUGGUUUUAGAGGAUGAUCAGCAACACUGGGACUGAGACACGGCCCAGACUCCUACGGGAGGCAGCAGUGGGGAAUCUUGGACAAUGGGGGCAACCCUGAUCCAGCCAUGCCGCGUGAGUGAUGAAGGCCUUAGGGUCGUAAAGCUCUUUCGCCUGUGAAGAUAAUGACGGUAGCAGGUAAAGAAACCCCGGCUAACUCCGUGCCAGCAGCCGCGGUAAUACGGAGGGGGUUAGCGUUGUUCGGAAUUACUGGGCGUAAAGCGCACGUAGGCGGACUGGAAAGUUGGGGGUGAAAUCCCAGGGCUCAACCCUGGAACUGCCUCCAAAACUAUCAGUCUAGAGUUCGAGAGAGGUGAGUGGAAUUCCGAGUGUAGAGGUGAAAUUCGUAGAUAUUCGGAGGAACACCAGUGGCGAAAGCGGCUCACUGGCUCGAUACUGACGCUG
rnacentral:rRNA from 1 species